rnacentral:lncRNA from 1 species
AAUUGCUCCAGGGAGACACAAAAGCAAAAACAUUUGUCCUAUUUUUUUAACCUCUUUGUUUUAGAUUUUUUUUUCAUCCAUUCUUUAAAUUUCACAGUUUCUAUUUGUCUGCAGAGAGACAAACGGAACAGCAUGAAGCACAUUUUACCGUAGGCCUCACUGGCAAUUGGAACAGCCUCAAUAGAAAUCCAAAUUCUAAAAACACUGGCUGACUUGGAGGAUAUGUGAAAUUUCAGCUCUGGGCUCUGAAGUCAGAUUAGCACAGAUUUUUUGAACAAAAAUGCACUACAAUGAAAAGAUAAGAAAAUGGGAUUCUAGAAUUAUUUGGAGGAAAGCACGAACAGGGUCAUCUCUUUUUUUUGUUGUUUAUUUUCUAGUUUUCUGGCCUCUACUUAGAAGCGGCUGUUUGAUAGAGAAAAAUUACAAACCUACAUGAAAUUCUUCCUUAAAACAAAACCUGGUCCUGGUUGUUUUGGGUCUGAUAUACUAUUAAAUGGGUUGUUCAGACUCGUAACUGGAAGAACUGUGGUGUAUAUACUAUGGAAUUGAUACUGUGUUAAGAUUUAAAAAAAAUAGGAUUUAUGUAAACAGGCAAUAUCCCCUCCCCCUUUCUUUUCCUCUCCUGUUUCCUGUUUCCUUUAUUCUGCCUCCAACCUGCUUCCCCU